GUAGGUAACCUGCCUUGAAGACUGGGAUACCUGAGGGAAACUUCAGACAAUACCGGAUAAUAACUAAGGGGACAUCCCUUUAGGAUGAAAGGCGCAGCAAUGCGUCACUUCGAGAUGGGCCUGCGGCGCAUUAGCUUGUUGGUGAGGUAAUGGCUCACCAAGGCGACGAUCGGUAGCUGGUCUGAGAGGAUGAUCAGCCACACUGGGACUGAGACACGGCCCAGACUCC
rnacentral:rRNA from 1 species